rnacentral:rRNA from 1 species
GGUCAAGCUAAUAAGGGCUAACGGUGGAUACCUAGGCACC